rnacentral:rRNA from 1 species
GACGAACGCUGGCGGCGUGCUUAACACAUGCAAGUCGAACGGAAAGGCCCUGCUUUUGUUGGGUGCUCGAGUGGCGAACGGGUGAGUAACACGUGAGUAACCUGCCCUUGACUUUGGGAUAACUUCAGGAAACUGGGGCUCAUAUCGGAUAGGAGCUCCUGCUGCAUGGUGGGGGUUGGAAAGUUUCGGCGGUUGGGGAUGGAUUCGCGGCUUAUCAGCUUGUUUGUGGGGUAGUGGCUUACCAAGGCUUUGACGGGUAGCCGGCCUGAGAGGGUGACCGGGCACAUGGGGACUGAGAUAGGGACCAGACGCCUACGGGAGGCAGAAGGCGGGAAUAUUACACAGUGGGCGGAAGCCUGAUGCAGAGACGCCGCGUGCGGGAUGACCGGCUUCGGGUUGUAAACCGCUUUCGCCUGAGACGAAGCGUGAGUGACGGUAAUGGGUAAAGAAGCACCGGCUAACUACGUG